rnacentral:rRNA from 2 species
AUGCAGUCGAACGGAAGUGCUCUUCGGAGUGACUCGAGUGGCGAACGGGUGAGUAACACGUGGGUGAUCUGCCCUGCACUUUGGGAUAAGCCUGGGAAACUGGGUCUAAUACCGGAUAGGACCACGGCCUUCAUGGGUUGUGGUGGAAAGCUUUUGCGGUGUGGGAUGGGCCCGCGGCCUAUCAGCUUGUUGGUGGGGUAAUGGCCUACCAAGGCGACGACGGGUAGCCGGCCUGAGAGGGUGUCCGGCCACACUGGGACUGAGAUACGGCCCAGACUCCUACGGGAGGCAGCAGUGGGGAAUAUUGCACAAUGGGCGCAAGCCUGAUGCAGCGACGCCGCGUGAGGGAUGACGGCCUUCGGGUUGUAAACCUCUUUCAACUACGACGAAGCGCAAGUGACGGUAGUAGUAGAAGAAGCACCGGCCAACUACGUGCCAGCAGCCGCGGUAAUACGUAGGGUGCGAGCGUUGUCCGGAAUUACUGGGCGUAAAGAGCUCGUAGGUGGUUUGUCGCGUUGUUCGUGAAAACUCACAGCUUAACUGUGGGCGUGCGGGCGAUACGGGCAGACUGGAGUACUGCAGGGGAGACUGGAAUUCCUGGUGUAGCGGUGGAAUGCGCAGAUAUCAGGAGGAACACCGGUGGCGAAGGA